GUCUUCGUGGCUCAGUUGGUUAGAGCGUCAGUCUCAUACUCUCUCUGUAUGAAGUUUCUUAAACAGAAUCGAUAUCUGAAGGCCGUGAGUUCGAACCUCACCGAGGACA